rnacentral:misc_RNA from 1 species
GAUGAAGAACGCAGCGAAAUGUGAUACGUAAUGUGAAUUGCAAAUUCAGUGAAUCAUCGAGUCUUUGAACGCACAUUGCGCCCCCUGGUAUUCCGGGGGGCAUGCCUGUCCGAGCGUCAUUGCUGCCCUCAAGCACGGCUUGUGUGUUGGGCCCCGUCCUCCGAUCCCGGGGGACGGGCCCGAAAGGCAGCGGCGGCACCGCGUCCGGUCCUCGAGCGUAUGGGGCUUUGUCACCCGCUCUGUAGGCCCGGCCGGCGCUUGCCGAUCAACCCAAAUUUUUUAUCCAGGUUGACCUCGGAUCAGGUAGGGAUACCCGCUGAACUUAAGCAUAUCAAUAAGCGGAGGA